ACAGGUGCAUCAAGAUUUGGGCUUUCCAAAUGUUUGUACAAUUUCUUUUUUGCAGUCUUAGGUUACGGGAGAUAUUUAAAUUAAUGAUGCAGGAGUGAGAAAUAGGAUGGAAAAAUAUCCCAAGCUGAAAAGGAUUUAAUUGUGGGUUUUCCAUAGGAAAGAGCUAUUUCAGCCUACCUGGUCUUUCCAGGAAAAAGGAUCCUGCUGCAAAAUGACGCCUAAAAAUCAGAAUUGUGAGUAGCAGGAUGUGCCGAGGCUGGGCAGCAGGAACUCCAGCUCCUCGGGCUGAGUUUUCCAUCUGUAAACAGGAAUUCCUGGAUAUUCUGAGUAAUCUCGAGGGCAGGGCUGCACCCAGAGUCCUGACACCAGACACUUCUGCUCUGCUUUGGGGGAUCAGCAACGGGGGAAAACCAGCACAGAAAAUCUGGAAAGGGAAACUGCAGGCAGAAAAGGGAGGAAGAUUUAAGGGAGCUCAGAAUCAAGUACUUGGAACCCCACAACUUGUCAGAUUGAAACAUGAACCCAUUAUUAGACGAAAAAUCAGGUGAGUGACCAAGAACCCUCUGCCCUGCUGUGGGAUCCCAUUUUCUGACCCUCUGGGCCAGCUUUGGAAAUGCUCUGUGUUCUAAAAUCUCAAUCAAUUGAGCAACGUGUCAUAAACAUGAAGAUAUAAAAUCAGGGCACAAGAGCCCCGUGUCCCCUCUGAAGGGAACAAACGGGCAGCUCUCCCUGGCCCAGGUUGCUCAAAUGUUACGGAUAAAUUCAGGGUGAGGGAAAUGAGCCCCAUCAUCUGCCUCCUGUCCCCAGCCCUGCUCUGCUCUGCUCUUUUCCUGAGCCACACUUCAUUUCUAGAGGUUACUGAGGGAUAAUCCCACCCCUUCUCACCUUCCCUCAAGGAAAUAAACUGGGAAUUAAAUAAAAAUAUAGGUAAAAGGCUUCCACGUAA